UACGUAGGUGGCGAGCGUUGUCCGGAUUUACUGGGCGUAAAGGGAGCGUAGGCGGACUUUUAAGUGAGAUGUGAAAUACCCGGGCUCAACUUGGGUGCUGCAUUUCAAACUGGAAGUCUAGAGUGCAGGAGAGGAGAAUGGAAUUCCUAGUGUAGCGGUGAAAUGCGUAGAUAUUAGGAGGAACACCAGUGGCGAAGGCGACUUUCUGGACUGUAACUGACGCUGAGGCGCGAGAGCGUGGGGAGCAAACAGGAUUAGAUACCCU
rnacentral:rRNA from 1 species